rnacentral:pre_miRNA from 1 species
AAUAAGUGCAGCCGUGGAUAUCCGCGUCCAACGUUUGACCGUUCGUCUUAUUUGAAAAAUUUGUGAAAAAAAUAAAAAAAUUUAGUCACACAUAAAGUACUAUUCAUGUUUUAUCAUCUAAUAGCAAUAAAAAUACUAAUCAUAAAAAAAUUUUUAAAUAAGACGAACGAUCAAACGUUGAACGUGAAUAGUGUAAAACUGCACUUAUU